AUUGUACUCCCUCCGUCCGGAAAUACUUGUCAUCAAAAUGGAUAAAAGGAGAUGUAUCUAGACGUAUUUUAGUUUUAGAUACAUCCCUUUUUAUUAAUUUUGAUGACAAGUAUUUUCGGACGGAGGGAGUAUUGU
rfam:Triticum aestivum genome assembly, contig: Triticum_aestivum_CS42_TGACv1_scaffold_130025_2BL